GUGGUGGCUCAAUGGUAGAGCACUUGUCUUGCACAUGGGAGGCACUGAGUUCGAUCCCCAGCACCACA
rnacentral:tRNA from 1 species